AACGAACGCUGGCGGCAUGCCUAACACAUGCAAGUCGAACGAGACCUUCGGGUCUAGUGGCGCACGGGUGCGUAACGCGUGGGAACCUGCCCUUAGGUUCGGAAUAACUCCCCGAAAGGGGUGCUAAUACCGGAUAAUGUCUUCGGACCAAAGAUUUAUCGCCUUUGGAUGGGCCCGCGUUGGAUUAGCUAGUUGGUAGGGUAAAAGCCUACCAAGGCGACGAUCCAUAGCUGGUCUGAGAGGAUGAUCAGCCACACUGGGACUGAGACACGGCCCAGACUCCUACGGGAGGCAGCAGUGGGGAAUAUUGGACAAUGGGCGAAAGCCUGAUCCAUCAAUGCCGCGUGAGUGAUGAAGGCCUUAGGGUUGUAAAGCUCUUUUACCCGGGAUGAUAAUGACAGGACCGGGAGAAUAAGCGCCGGCUAACUCCGUG
rnacentral:rRNA from 1 species